rnacentral:rRNA from 1 species
UGCGCAGGCGGGCUUGUAAGUCAGUGGUGAAAUACUGCCGCUUAACGGUAGAACUGCCAUUGAUACUGCAAGUCUUGAAUAUGGUUGAGGUAGGCGGAAUGUGUUGUGUAGCGGUGAAAUGCAUAGAUAUGACACAGAACGCCGACUGCGAAGGCAGCUUACUAAGCCAUUAUUGACGCUGAGGCACGAAAGCGUGGGGAGCGAACAGGAUUAGAUACCCUGGUAGUCC